rnacentral:rRNA from 1 species
GAUGAACGCUGGCGGCGUGCCUAAUACAUGCAAGUCGAGCGAACAGACGAGGAGCUUGUUCCCUUGACGUUAGCGGCGGACGGGCGAGUAACACGUGGAUAACCAACCUAUAAGACUGGGAUAACAUCGGGAAACCGGAGCUAAUACUGGAGAAUAUAUCCAACCGCAGGGAUCAAUAGUGAAAGACGGCUUUGCUGUCACUAAUAGACGGUUCCGCGUCGCAUUAGCUAGUUGGUAAGGUAACGGCUUACCAAGGCAACGAUGCGUAGCCGACCUGAGAGGGUGAUCGGCCACACUGGAACUGAGACACGGUCCAGACUCCUACGGGAGGCAGCAGUAGGGAAUCUUCCGCAAUGGGCGCAAGCCUGACGCAGCAACGCCGCGUGAGUGAUGAAGGUCUUCGGAUCGUAAAACUCUGUUAUUAGGGAAGAACAAAUGUGUAAGUAACUAUGCACGUCUUGACGGUACCUAAUCAGUAAGCCACGGCUAACUACGUG